GGCUUCUUACAAAUCUGUAAGUACUAAAAACUAUUAAUUUGAAGUUAACAAUGCCUUCGAUUUUAUUUAUAAAGUCAUCAACUAAUUUUCAAUUUCUUGUAUGCAAAAGAGAAAAACAAUGGCUAAAAUUAUCAAAUCCAUUCAAGCUUUUAUCAUAUAUUUUUCUCUCAUUAUUCUUGUUGCCAGCGACAAUAAGUUGUUUUGCUAUAAUGAUGAUGAUUGUACUUCCAAUAUAUGCCGCUCUCCUCCUUAUGUUAGGAAGUGUCGUUUAUUUUUGUGUUAUUGUGAGCCAAAGUAAUAAAAUAAGUUGAAAAAUGAAUCUGUUUUUUAAGCAUAAGUUUUCUAGUAAAUUGGUACUGAAAGAGUAAAUUUAUAUAUGAUUAUUGUUUAUGUUAUGCAUAAUAUUUUUCA